rnacentral:rRNA from 1 species
CGGAUGCUGACGAGUGGCGAACGGGUGAGUAAUACAUCGGAACGUGCCCGAGAGUGGGGGAUAACGAAGCGAAAGCUUUGCUAAUACCGCAUACGAUCUCAGGAUGAAAGCAGGGGACCGCAAGGCCUUGCGCUCACGGAGCGGCCGAUGGCAGAUUAGGUAGUUGGUGGGAUAAAAGCUUACCAAGCCGACGAUCUGUAGCUGGUCUGAGAGGACGACCAGCCACACUGGGACUGAGACACGGCCCAGACUCCUACGGGAGGCAGCAGUGGGGAAUUUUGGACAAUGGGCGCAAGCCUGAUCCAGCCAUGCCGCGUGCAGGAUGAAGGCCUUCGGGUUGUAAACUGCUUUUGUACGGAACGAAAAGACUCUGGUUAAUACCUGGGGUCCAUGACGGUACCGUAAGAAUAAGCACCGGCUAACUACGUGCCAGCAGCCGCGGUAAUACGUAGGGUGCGAGCGUUAAUCGGAAUUACUGGGCGUAAAGCGUGCGCAGGCGGUUAUGUAAGACAGAUGUGAAAUCCCCGGGCUCAACCUGGGAACUGCAUUUGUGACUGCAUAGCUAGAGUACGGCAGAGGGGGAUGGAAUUCCGCGUGUAGCAGUGAAAUGCGUAGAUAUGCGGAGGAACACCGAUGGCGAAG